CAUUAGAUGACUGAAAAGCAAGUAAUGGUCUCUUAAACCAAAAUAUAGUAAAUUAGUGAAUACUUCUAAUGA
rnacentral:tRNA from 2 species